rnacentral:lncRNA from 8 species
AUGCCAGCCAUAGUCCGGAGGUCCUCUAGUGAAGGAGUAGCUAUGGACUCUAGUGAAGGAGUAGCUAUGGGCUCUAGUGAAGGAGUAGCUAUGGACUCUAGUGAAGGAGUAGCUAUGGACUCUAGUGAAGGAGUAGCUAUGGGCUCUAGUGAAGGAGUAACUAUGGACUCUAGUGAAGGAGUAGCUAUGGACUCUAGUGAAGGAGUAGCUAUGGGCUCUAGUGAAGGAGUAGCUAUGGGCUCUAGUGAAGGAGUAGCUAUGGGCUCUAGUGAAGGAGUAGCUAUGGACUCUAGUGAAGGAGUAGCUAUGGGCUCUCGUGAAGGAUUAGCUAUGGAGUCUAGUGAAGGAGUAGCUAUGGACUCUAGUGAAGGAGUAGCUAUGGACUCCAUGGACUCUAGUGAAGGAGUAGCUAUGGGCUCUAGUGAAGGAGUAGCUAUGGACUCCAUGGACUCUAGUGAAGGAGUAGCUAUGGGCUCUAGUGAAGGAGUAGCUAUGGACUCUAGUGAAGGAGUAGCUAUGGGCUCUAGUGAAGGAGUAGCUAUGGACUCUAGUGAAGGAGUAGCUAUGGGCUCUAGUGAAGGAGUAGCUAUGGGCUCUAGUGAAGGAGUAGCUAUGGGCUCUAGUGAAGGAGUAGCUAUGGGCUCUAGUGAAGGAGUAGCUAUGGACUCUAGUGAAGGAGUAGCUAUGGACUCUAGUGAAGGAGUAGCUAUGGACUCUAGUGAAGGAGUAGCUAUGGACUCUAGUGAAGGAGUAGCUAUGGACUCUAGUGAAGGAGUAGCUAUGGACUCCAUGGACUCUAGUGAAGGAGUAGCUAUGGGCUCUAGUGAAGGAGUAGCUAUGGACUCCAUGGACUCUAGUGAAGGAGUAGCUAUGGGCUCUAGUGAAGGAGUAGCUAUGGACUCUAGUGAAGGAGUAGCUAUGGGCUCUAGUGAAGGAGUAGCUAUGGGCUCUAGUGAAGGAGUAGCUAUGGACUCUAGUGAAGGAGUAGCUAUGGACUCCAUGGACUCUAGUGGCUUAGCUCAAGCUUCCUCUGACUGA